rnacentral:rRNA from 1 species
AGUGAACGCUGGCGGUAGGCCUAACACAUGCAAGUCGAACGGCAGCACAGUAAGAGCUUGCUCUUACGGGUGGCGAGUGGCGGACGGGUGAGGAAUACAUCGGAAUCUACUUUUUCGUGGGGGAUAACGUAGGGAAACUUACGCUAAUACCGCAUACGACCUACGGGUGAAAGCAGGGGAUCUUCGGACCUUGCGCGAUUGAAUGAGCCGAUGUCGGAUUAGCUAGUUGGCGGGGUAAAGGCCCGCCAAGGCGACGAUCCGUAGCUGGUCUGAGAGGAUGAUCAGCCACACUGGAACUGAGACACGGUCCAGACUCCUACGGGAGGCAGCAGUGGGGAAUAUUGGACAAUGGGCGAAAGCCUGAUCCAGCCAUACCGCGUGGGUGAAGAAGGCCUUCGGGUUGUAAAGCCCUUUUGUUGGGAAAGAAAAGCAGCAGGUUAAUACCGCGCUGUUCUGACGGUACCCAAAGAAUAAGCACCGGCUAACUUCGUG